rnacentral:rRNA from 1 species
GGACUACAAGGGUAUCUAAUCCUGUUUGCUCCCCACGCUUUCGCACCUCAGCGUCAGUUCCGGGCCAGUGAGCCGCCUUCGCCACUGGUGUUCUUGCGAAUAUCUACGAAUUUCACCUCUACACUCGCAGUUCCACUCACCUCUCCCGGACUCAAGAUCCCCAGUAUCAAAGGCAGUUCCGAGGUUGAGCCCCGGCAUUUCACCCCUGACUUAAGAAUCCGCCUACGUGCGCUUUACGCCCAGUGAUUCCGAACAACGCUAGCCCCCUUCGUAUUACCGCGGCUGCUGGCAC